AGUGAUAAACAAUCCUCAAUUUGUUCGAUGUUCGGAAGUUUUUUCAAUAUUUCUUGUUUUUAAAAGUUCAAAAAAUCGUAAAAAGUGACAAAAUCGUAAGUUGAGCCACGAUAGUGUACCGCAUUUUCACUGCAGCAAUAUGUCGAAGUGCCCCGUUUCGCGAUGCCGGAGCAGAAAAGUUUUGAAUGUUUUGAAGAAAGUCGGAUAACUUUCCACCGUUUUCCGACCAACAAAUUGUUUAGACGGAAUUGGUUAAACUUUUUCGGAUACAGAAGCUCGUUCGAUACGCGAAACAUAUUUAUUUGUUCGCUUCAUUUUUCGCCGGAUUCUUUUGGGGAUACUGUUUUAACCUAUAAUCAGCAAAGAAGACGUCUUCGUACUGGAGCUAUUCUAUGCAUACGCUUCUUGGAUCUUCCAAAACGUUCCGUUCCAAUGGUUUCACACGAAAUUUCAAAUUUGUACAUUCACUUUUUGCGAAAGUGCAAAAUAUUAUAUAUAUUUGCAAUCACUUCGGAAGAUGACCCGGGAUGGAGGAAAUGUUUUUCUCGUUUUCCAGAAACGUCAAUUUGGUCUCUUAUGUGGCCUCAUUACGGCUGAACACUCCAAACCGAAACCAAUGAAAGCGUCGCGAUGAUUCUUGAUGGAAAUCAGCAAUGUGGGAGUUAAUCUUGCAUCAUAUUAUCAAUUUUUAGUAUUUUAAGACAGUUCUUUUGUUACAAUUUGAAUAAAAAUCAAAGGGCCUGAUCACGAACGUCACUUCACGGUGAAAAUGAAAUGAAUUGUGUGCAGUUUGUAUGCAUUUCAUUCAGUUUUCACCGUGAAGUAACGUUCUUAAUCAGGUCCAAA